AUCAUUAACUGAAUCCAUAGGUUAAUGAGGCGAACCGGGGGAACUGAAACAUCUAAGUACCCCGAGGAAAAGAAAUCAACCGAGAUUCCCCCAGUAGCGGCGAGCGAACGGGGAGGAGCCCAGAGCCUGAAUCAGUGUGUGUGUUAGUGGAAGCGUCUGGAAAGGCGCGCGAUACAGGGUGACAGCCCCGUACACAAAAAUGCACAUAUUGUGAGCUCGAUGAGUAGGGCGGGACACGUGGUAUCCUGUCUGAAUAUGGGGGGACCAUCCUCCAAGGCUAAAUACUCCUGACUGACCGAUAGUGAACCAGUACCGUGAGGGAAAGGCGAAAAGAACCCCGGCGAGGGGAGUGAAAAAGAACCUGAAACCGUGUAC
rnacentral:rRNA from 1 species